rnacentral:rRNA from 1 species
AGAGUUUGAUCAUGGCUCAGGACGAACGCUGGCGGCGCGCCUAAUACAUGCAAGUCGAGCGAAGACGCUUUGUGCCUUGGCUUCGGUCAAGAAUCAAAGUGGACUGAGCGGCGGACGGGUGAGUAACGCGUGGGCAACCUGCCCUAUCGCCCGGGAUAACCCUCGGAAACGAGGGCUAAUACCGGAUGCGGUCACGAGCUCGCAUGGGUUUGUGACGAAAGAUUAUUGCGAUAGGAUGGGCCCGCGUCCCAUUAGCUAGUUGGUAGGGUAACGGCCUACCAAGGCGACGAUGGGUAGCCGGCCUGAGAGGGUGAACGGCCACACUGGGACUGAGACACGGCCCAGACUCCUACGGGAGGCAGCAGUAGGGAAUCUUCGGCAAUGGGCGAAAAGCCUGACCGAGCGACGCCGCGUGAGGGAAGAAGGCCUUCGGGUCGUAAACCUCUGUCCUUGGGGAAGAAGGUGACGGUACCCAAGGAGGAAGCCCCGGCUAACUACGUGCCAGCAGCCGCGGUAAUACGUAGGGGGCGAGCGUUGUCCGGAAUUACUGGGCGUAAAGGGUGCGUAGGCGGCCAUUUAAGUCUUGUGUGAAAGGCCCCGGCUUAACCGGGGAGCUGCAUGGGAAACUGGAUGGCUUGAGUGCUGGAGAGGGUUGCGGAAUUCCCAGUGUAGCGGUGAAAUGCGUAGAUAUUGGGAGGAACACCAGUGGCGAAGGCGGCAACCUGGACAGUAACUGACGCUGAGGCACGACAGCUGGGGGAGCAAACAGGAUUAGAUACCCUGGUAGUCCCAGCCGUAAACGAUGAGUGCUAGGUGUUGCGGGUAUCGACCCCUGCAGUGCCGCAGUUAACGCAAUAAGCACUCCGCCUGGGGAGUACGGCCGCAAGGCUGAAACUCAAAGGAAUUGACGG